rnacentral:tRNA from 1 species
GUAAAUAUAGUUUAAUCAAAACAUUAGAUUGUGAAUCUAACAUUAGAAGAAUAUAAACUUCUUAUUUACC